AUUGAACGCUGGCGGAAUGCUUUACACAUGCAAGUCGAGCGGCAGCGCGGGGGCAACCCUGGCGGCGAGCGGCGAACGGGUGAGUAAUACAUCGGAACGUGUCCUUAAGUGGGGGAUAGCUCGGCGAAAGCCGGAUUAAUACCGCAUAAGCUCUGAGGAGGAAAGCGGGGGCUCCGUAAGGACCUCGCGCUGUUGGAGCGGCCGAUGUCGGAUUAGCUAGUUGGUGGGGAAAGGCCCACCAAGGCGACGAUCCGUAGCUGGUCUGAGAGGAUGAUCAGCCACACUGGAACUGAGACACGGUCCAGACCCCUACGGGAGGCAGCA
rnacentral:rRNA from 1 species